UUAGAGUUUGAUCCUGGCUCAGGAUGAACGCUGGCGGUCUGCUUAACACAUGCAAGUCGAACGGGAUCCUUCGGGAUUUAGUGGCGGACGGGUGAGUAACGCGUGAGAAUCUGCCCUUAGGUUGGGGACAACAGUUGGAAACGACUGCUAAUACCCAAUGUGCCGAGAGGUGAAAGGUUAACUGCCUGGGGAUGAGCUCGCGUCUGAUUAGCUAGUUGGAGUGGUAACGGCACACCAAGGCGACGAUCAGUAGCUGGUCUGAGAGGAUGAUCAGCCACACUGGGACUGAGACACGGCCCAGACUCCUACGGGAGGCAGCAGUGGGGAAUUUUCCGCAAUGGGCGAAAGCCUGGCGGAGCAAGACCGCGUGAGGGAGGAAGGCCUAUUGGUUGUAAACCUCUUUUGAUAGGGAAGAACACAAUGACGGUACCUAUCGAAUCAGCAUCGGCUAACUCCGUGCCAGCAGCCGCGGUAAUACGGAGGAUGCAAGCGUUAUCCGGAUUUAUUGGGCGUAAAGCGUCCGUAGGUGGCAAACCAAGUCAGUUGUUAAAGCGUAGAGCUUAACUCUAUAAGGGCAAUUGAAACUGGUUAGCUAGAGUGCGAUAGGGGCAAGGGGAAUUCCCAGUGUAGCGGUGAAAUGCGUAGAUAUUGGGAAGAACAUCGGUGGCGAAGGCGCCUUGCUGGGUCUGCACUGACACUGAGGGACGAAAGCUAGGGGAGCGAAAGGGAUUAGAUACCCCUGUAGUCCU
rnacentral:rRNA from 1 species